GCUCGAGUGGCGGAAUUGGUUUACGCGCAUCACUUAAAAUGAUGUGGCCGCAAGGUCGUGUGGGUUCGACUCCCACCUCGAGCACCA
rnacentral:tRNA from 1 species